GUAUUCUGCACGGACUGCUGGGCAGCACUAGCACUCUGGAGAAGGUCUGCCGCUGUCUGCACUUUCCUGGUUCUAUGCAGGCAGAUGAGUGUCACAGCUGUAACUGAGGCACAGAGCAGUACACACAGUGGAGCCGAUUUCCGCGAUGGCGAGAGGGGGCACCGGAGGUGACAACAAUAACAAGACUGUCCUUCGGACAAGUUUUAGCGCUGAAUAUCUUCAGGAAAAUGGGUUCCAUGAGAAGUGACAUCCUCCUCGAAUCAAAAGACUUGAGGUUAACAUGGGCAUAAUGUUCUGGAUGAAGCUUUGGAAGUACUUGUGAAGGGAAGAAUGACUUGGGCAAUACCAAAUGUUGAGUUAUCAAGUAUUUCGAUACCCAUAUGCAUCAUCUGCUAUUCUCAGGAUGAUGGAGUGAGUGAUGGAAUAGGUUGCCAACUGUAGUUACUCCACUCAGCACAGAAUGGCUGCGGGGAAAUAUAAUCAGACAUGCCCAAAGAAGUCUGCUUAGGGUGAAACAAAUACCUUUGAGGUUUAAAUCAGGAAGGAGAGACUGUUUCUACAGGUGUCAUACAAAAAUCAAUACUGAGCCAAGGAUUAUUGGAUCCCAUAGAACCACGGAGACUUGGUAGUGAAAUUCUUCCAAAGCAUUCCAUCCGUGCAGGCAGAUGGUGUUCCUAGGUUUGGAAAUAUAAAUCCCAUGGGAAGUCAGCUGAAGACCAUUUUAUGCAUCACUCAUCCUGUUAGAGCCCUGUGCUGUUCUGUCUCUCUAUAAGACUGGCUGAAACCACCACGGUUGUUUACAAUUUAUGCUCUAACUUUGGAUCACCUAGUUAAUACUCUAACUCCGAUUAUUACCAAAGACAAUGUUCUAUAAAAGAUAUUGUCUAUUAGAAGGAUGCUUCUGCAUUAUUAAUAAAAUCACAGGGAAAAUGCAACAUUUUGGAUGUCACAUCUGAUAAGUGGGUGACUGAUCGUACCCGCCAGCUGGCUAAUGUCAUAAUUAACAAAGUUGCUACUACAUCUGCAAAGUUUAAUCGAAAAAUUUGCCAGUGAUAUGAUGGCCUUGUCACAGAGAUCACAAGGGACACGGAGUUGACUUUUGCUCAAGGUGGAACGACAGAGCUGUGUAGGCAAGAUGAGAAAUUGCGAACUUGUUCGGCCAAAG
rnacentral:lncRNA from 1 species